AAUAUUGGACAAUGGGGGCAACCCUGAUCCCGCCAUGCCGCGUGUGUGAAGAAGGUCUUUGGAUUGUAAAGCACUUUAAGUUGGGAGGAAGGGCUUUAGGUUAAUACACUGAAGUUUUGACGUUACCAUCUGAAUAAGCACCGGCUAACUCGGUGCCAGCAGCCGCGGUAAUACAGAGGGUCAAAGCGUUAAUCGGAAUUACUGGGCGUAAAGCGCGCGUAGGUGGUUCAGUAAGAUGGGUAUGAAAACCCCGGGCUUAACCUGGGAACUGCUUUCAUAACUGCUGAGCUAGAGUACGGUAGAGGGUAGUGGAAUUUCCUGUGUAGCGGUGAAAUGCGUAGAUAUAGGAAGGAACACCAGUGGCGAAGGCGACUACCUGGACUGAUACUGACACUGAGGUGCGAAAGAGUGGGGAGCAAAC
rnacentral:rRNA from 1 species